rnacentral:piRNA from 1 species
UACCCAGAGGAGGACACGGAUCGC